rnacentral:rRNA from 1 species
UACCACAUCCAAGGAAGGCAGCAGGCGCGCAAAUUACCCACUCCCGGCACGGGGAGGUAGUGACGAAAAAUAACGAUACGGGACUCAUCCGAGGCCCCGUAAUCGGAAUGAGUACACUCUAAACCCUUUAACGAGGAUCAAUUGGAGGGCAAGUCUGGUGCCAGCAGCCGCGGUAAUUCCAGCUCCAAUAGCGUAUAUUAAAGUUGUUGCGGUUAAAAAGCUCGUAGUCGAAUCUGUGUCUCGCGCCGCCGGUUCAUCGCUCGCGGUGUUUAACUGGCGUGCCGCGGGACGUCCUGCCGGUGGGCGCAGCCUCCAGGGGCGGCCCAACUUGAAAUCCCACCGCGGUGCUCUUCACUGAGUGUCGAGGUGGGCCGGCACGUUUACUUUGAACAAAUUAGAGUGCUUAAAGCAGGCUCAAACUUCGCCUGAAUACUGUGUGCAUGGAAUAAUGGAAUAGGACCUCGGUUCUAUUUUGUUGGUUUUCGGAACCCCGAGGUAAUGAUUAAUAGGAACGGAUGGGGGCAUUCGUAUUGCGACGUUAGAGGUGAAAUUCUUGGAUCGUCGCAAGACGAACAGAAGCGAAAGCAUUUGCCAAAAACGCUUUCAUUGAUCAAGAACGAAAGUUAGAGGUUCGAAGGCGAUCAGAUACCGCCCUAGUUCUAACCAUAAACGAUGCCAGCUAGCGAUCCGCCGACGUUCCUCCGAUGACUCGGCGGGCAGCUUCCGGGAAACCAAAGCUUUUGGGUUCCGGGGGAAGUAUGG